AACAUAUCUGGCGGACAUCUCCUUGUUAAGUCUUUGAACCUCUCCCAUGCUUCAUAUAGAGUCUCCCCAUCUUGUUGUCUGAACGUCUGCACUUCAAUUCUCAGCCU